GGGGAGGGGCACUGACGCAGCAGCAGAAGCUCCUUGCUCCAGACAACGAGCUGGGUGUGCUGGUGCCUAGCUUGAUACUCUGUGGUCUGGUCUGUAGAAGUGCUGAGUGCUCCUAGUGGGAAAAGAGUACAGUGACAUUCAAGAAGUCCCAAUCAGCUUCCAUUGUGGCAGAUGAAGAAUAAACAUAGUGGAAAACAGAUCCUGCUCUGAAAAGCAUACAGUCUUAAAAGACAAGAGAUAUACAAAGGCUGGGGGAAAGAGAUACCAUUAGACAUGUACAACUUUUAUAUAACUAUUUGGAAUUAUGAGUUGACUUUUCCCAACUGCUCUUCAGUCUUGCUGUCAUACAUUGGCAGGCUUUCAUGUAAUUGUUGCAGCACAAGAGGGUCAUGAGAAGGGUUCUGAAAUAGUAGAAGGCACCAUUGCAUGUCUGGUCAUGGAAGGUGUUACCUGCGUAAACAGGGGUUGCCUGAGGUGGACUGUUGGCAGCUGGCACCCCAGGCGGAAUGCGCGAUCAGCUCCCCUGCCUCUAGGCUGCCCCUGUGUAUAAGUGAAGUCUGGAAAAAGAAGUGACACAACUGAGCAGAAACCAUUCUGAAAUGUGAAGAAAUUAGAGUUGUAAUUAAGGGUGGUCAAAAAUUUCCUACUGGGACUUAUAGUGGGAAAUUGGGUUUCUGACAAAAAAAUUUUAAACGGGACAUUUCUGAUUUCUUAGAACACUUUUGAUUUUUCAUCAGAAGUCCAAAUCCCAACCUUGCAGGCCAAAAACUGGUUUCUCUUUUUCAGGUGAAAAUGUUCAGUCUGCAGCAGUGUUUGGGUGAAAUUUUCUGGGUAUUUGGUUGCCAAAACUGGAAAACAUUUUUUUUUUUAACAAAAAUAAUCAAAACUUUCUGACCAAAACCCUUCUGAUUUUCUGACUACCGUAUUU